rnacentral:rRNA from 1 species
UACGAAGGGGGCUAGCGUUGCUCGGAAUUACUGGGCGUAAAGCGCACGUAGGCGGCUUUCUAAGUCGGAGGUGAAAUCCUGGAGCUCAACUCCAGAACUGCCUUCGAUACUGGAGAGCUUGAGUCCGGGAGAGGUGAGUGGAACUGCGAGUGUAGAGGUGAAAUUCGUAGAUAUUCGCAAGAACACCAGUGGCGAAGGCGGCUCACUGGCCCGGUACUGACGCUGAGACGCGAAGGCGUGGGGAGCGAACGGG